CCACUAUAGCACCACAUUACAAUAAAACAAUGUAAUAUAGUACUUUGGCACUGCAGUGUAGUGAUUUAGUUUAUCUCUCGUAUUACUUUGACAUUUAUUUGUGUUUUUCUUCCAUGUGCAUGUUGUGUGAUUUUUAGAUUGUCUGCAGAUUUUAAUUCCACUCCUGAUCAUCUUAACACUGAUUCUUAUCCUGUAUGCUGUGACUGUUGGAUUUGCACUUUACAGAAUUAGACAAUUGAGCAACAAGCUGAAGGUUCACAAUGAUGCAGGCACAUGUGCUUCUCGUCACCUCUCUGCUUCAGAGUCUGAUUAUGAGAUUAUGACUAUGAAGAAAGAUGACACAAUAAUAAAUUUGUGACGUUCACAUCUUUGGCAAAAAGACAGAAAUACCAGCACUCCUAACAUGCUUAAAUGAGUAAAACCUCACACUUAAAAAAUCAACUGUACCCUUCAUCUGUUAUCACACUGAGAUCUGGCAGAAACAAAUAGAUGUUAUUGAACUGUAAAUGUCAGUGGUCAUGAAUUUAUGCACAAAAUUCUUAGUAUUUCUGAUACAGUUUCUUUAAACUAAAUGUAGAAAAUCAUGUUUGUUAAAAUGCUUU